rnacentral:rRNA from 1 species
GAUGAACGCUAGCGGCAGGCUUAAUACAUGCAAGUCGUGGGGCAGCAUGAGUAGCAAUACUUGAUGGCGACCGGCAAACGGGUGAGGAACACGUACACAACCUUCCUUCAAGCGGGGAAUAGCCCAGAGAAAUUUGGAUUAAUACCCCAUAAUAUAUUUGAUAAGGCAUCUUAUUAAAUAUUAAAGCUUCGGCACUUGAUGAUGGGUGUGCGGCUGAUUAGAUAGUUGGCGGGGUAACGGCCCACCAAGUCUACGAUCAGUAGCUGAUGUGAGAGCAUGAUCAGCCACACGGGCACUGAGACACGGGCCCGACUCCUACGGGAGGCAGCAGUAAGGAAUAUUGGACAAUGGACGAAAGUACUGAUCCAGCCAUGCCGCGUGAAGGAUUAAGGUCCUCUGGAUUGUAAACUUCUUUAUAUGGGACGAAAAAAGGGCAUUCUUGUUCACUUGACGGUACCAUAUGAAUAAGCAACCGGCUAACUCCGUGCCAG